rnacentral:lncRNA from 1 species
AGGGGGGUGGGUGGCACUCUGAAGGCUAUCCAGCACGAUCCGGCCCUUUCCCUUGGCAAUUCUGUGACACUUUCCAAUCUAAGGCCGACAGAGCAAGGCAACCAGAUUUUUUUCUACAGCACCCUCCCAGGUGAGCAGUGGGCCUGGAGCCCUUCUGUAACCUGGCAUCUGUAGGUCUUCUCAUUAAGAACGAGAGUCAGAAGAGGAAAGGACUUAACACUCAUUACAACUCAGUCAUGGGGUGAGUGAGCAAUGCAAACAGGGAAAACUCACUCCCACUUGGCCAGGGUGCGGGGUGGGUAUGGGAGGGGGCAUGCGCCUAGGCCUUUGCGCUCAUUGGGCAGGUAGCCCCUAGAUAAUGUUCGGACAGCACCCACUCACCCACGCCUGGCCAGUCAGCUGGGACAGGCAGGCCUAAACCAGCCGGCCUCACCUAGAGGCGUCUGCCCCCGAGGCAGACACCGCCCGACGCCCUCGCUUCAGCGGUUCCCAGGAGAGCAGGCGGCAGAGACCAAGUGAUCUACCGCUAAACCUGAGCCCACCUCGACCCUAUUUCUGACGUGUCCUCUGCUAGCGGGGGGAGUGGGAGGGAGAGGAAGGGGCCUCGGGGGGAUGGAUCCCUUAGCCGCUAUUGUCAACUUCCUCGGCAGGAGUGGAUGUCUGUAAAGGUUGGAAGGUAAGGUGGCUCUGGGAAUGGCCUAGCACGCUUCCACGCGGUAGUCGCUCAAAAGUUUCAAACAAGACCUUGUCCUACUGGCCGUGCCACUGGGUCGCGUCGCUCCAGGUCUCCCCUCCUCCCCUCCCCCUCGAAGUAGUGUCCCUGCCACUCCGCAGUUCCACCACCCACGCGGGCCCCCACGCUCACCUGUUGCAGCACUUUGUCCAGGGACUCCGCCCGCGCUAGGCUGUCUGCGCUGAGUCCACUCGCCUCGCGGCAUUGUGGACUCAGGGCAGCCGCCUCGGCGCGAACUAGCGACUUGUGCAGCGUCCCCACCUAAAAGCACCGAGGGUAACCCCAUGAGCCGCUGUGCCUCAACAGGCUCUGAAGCGUCCCGAGGUCCCCUCUUUCCCACCCUACCUGUCGGCUGCGCGGCUCCACCACUUGCCAAACUAGGAGGAUUAAGUCGGUCUCGUCCGAGCCUAGGUCCGGCCCCAGCGCACCGGCAGUGGCCCCGAACAAAACCACCAGCGACUGAGGUUCGGGACAAGGGUCUGUGGCCGAGUCUACUGCGGGAUCUGGGCCCGGGGGUGGGGGCGGCGGCGGCGGCGGAGUCAUGGCCGCAGAGGAAGGGGGCGCUCGGCCACACACGCGGACCGACGAGGCGCACACACGUACCGACCGACAGCAGACAGACGAGCUUGGGCGGGAUCCGGUGUGUUGGGGGCGGCACCUGCGGCCGGGUGUAGUGGGAGCUGCAGAGACCCGCCCGCGGUGCCCUUUGGGGCUGGGCGGUGCGGCUGCCUAUCCCUGCCUACUCCGGCGAGUUACCUGCGGCCCGGAGAGGCCACGUGAUCAGGACGGCCCAGGGAACCCCGCGGGAGGGCCAAAACCCUGCCCAGGAGGCAAGAGCUCACUUCUGCUGAGGCGUGCGCUCGCCGGCUGGAGUCCCACCUCUUGCUGCAGUCCGGCGAGACUCCUGGGACGAAUCCAUUCUUUCUCCUACUUCCUCUCUAGCAGGCACUCUGAGUCCUCCGCAAAAGAAUGUGCAGGAUCAGAGGCCUCUUUCCAUUCUGCAAGGGUCACGCAAGACCCAUGGAAUUCAACAGGAGGCAAUCUAGGGACUAUAAAAGGUCGCGACGUCUGGCUUGAGGUUAAUGGAAGUUACAAAGGGUCAAAAGCCGACAGUGAGCGCUACCAGGUGUCGGGUCGGCGUAGUGCCGGCAGUGCAAGGCGCACGUUACUGUGGACCUGAAGGCUCAGGCCUUGGUGCCAAGGCCGCCCUGUGGGCUCAGGAUAGUUUCCCACCUACUCGACUGUAAUUAGUACUCUGGCGAGAGUAAAAAGGUACUGGCGUGGGACUUAGAAUACAGGAUGCCACCGGCUGAAGAAGAACCUUGUGUGUUUGGAAAAGCGGGCUGCUUCCUAUCGGUCUUGGAUAAAAGGCAACCCAGAGCCCGGGUGCAUCCCUAACUCAUGCCCAAGGAAGGUCGUGCGGAGCCAGAGGACCUAGAAUGUAUAGUGCGCCUUCUGGGUUUGUCCACACAAUAGCGCAGGAACACAGCGACCCAAUAUAGUGAGAAGUGGCCGCAGCGCACACCCUGAGACCCUUCACCAGGCGGCCCACCCGGAGCCUGCCUACUCAGCCCCGCUACCACGAUAAGCCUGGAAUGUCAAAUAUUUGUUCUAGGAACCCAGUGAAACCUUGAGGUAAAGCCCCUCCCCUCCUCCCUCCCAUUCCGGAGCGCGCCUGCGUCAGUCCAGGCUUUCCGGUAAGGACACUCCCUUCCAACUAGUUCCUUCUCGACACCCCUGCAACCCAUCGUCCUGACUAUUUAAACUUCACAAGGUCUUCGCUACAGGCUCAGGUUCAGUGAGGCAGAGUCUUGGCUUCCCUACCCAGUUAUCCCAGAGCUACUGGUAUCGGUUUCUACCCACAACCUCCGAGCAAGGCUCCCCUUUCAACCUGUAGACCUCGCCUCCCGAUUCUCGGGAGAUCUUGCUGACUGUGGAAUCCCUGGCUGUUCCGAACCCCCUGGAAAGAAGCGGCUGUUCCCAGGUUUCUGCAAGGUAACGAAUCUGAAGAGUCAACAGAAUUGAGCGGCUCCAUUCAUUCGACUCUGGUUCUCUCAACCAGGCAUUCCCCAUAUUAAAACAAUUCCAGAACUUCAAA